CAGUGUGUUGGUAGCUAAAAAGCCAGGGGCGGUAGCGUG
rnacentral:ncRNA from 1 species